GACGAACGCUGGCGGCGUGCCUAAUACAUGCAAGUCGAACGAGAGCGCCCGGUGCUUGCACUGGUCAAUCUAGUGGCGAACGGGUGAGUAACACGUGGGUAACCUGCCCAUCAGAGGGGGAUAACAUCCGGAAACGGAUGCUAAAACCGCAUAGGUCUUCGAACCGCAUGGUUUGAAGAGGAAAAGAGGCGCAAGCUUCUGCUGAUGGAUGGACCCGCGGUGCAUUAGCUAGUUGGUGAGGUAACGACUCACCAAGGCCGUGAUGCAUAGCCGACCUGAGAGGGUGAUCGGCCACAUUGGGACUGAGACACGGCCCAAACUCCUACGGGAGGCAGCAGUAGGGAAUCUUCCGCAAUGGACGCAAGUCUGACGGAGCAACGCCGCGUGAGUGAAGAAGAUUUUCGGAUCGUAAAACUCUGUUGUUAGAGAAGAACAAGUGCUAGAGUAACUGUUAGCGCCUUGACGGUAGCUAACCAGAAAGCCACGGCUAACUACGUG
rnacentral:rRNA from 1 species